AUUGAACGCUGGCGGCAUGCCUUACACAUGCAAGUCGAACGGCAGCACGGGUGCUUGCACCUGGUGGCGAGUGGCGAACGAGUGAGUAAUACAUCGGAACGUACCUUAUCGUGGGGGAUAACGCAGCGAAAGCUGUGCUAAUACCGCAUACGCCCUGAGGGGGAAAGCGGGGGAUCGCAAGACCUCGCGCGAUUAGAGCGGCCGAUGCCUGAUUAGCUUGUUGGUGGGGUAAAAGCCCACAAAGGCGACGAUCAGUAGCUGGUCUGAGAGGACGAGCAGCCCCACUGGGACUGAGACACGGGCCAGACUCCUACGGUAGGCAGCAGUGGGGAAUUUUGGACAAUGGGGGCAACCCUGAGCCAGCAAUGCCGCGUGAGUGAAGAAGGCCUUCGGGUUGUAAAGCUCUUUUGUCAGGGAAGAAACACCGGCUCUAACACAGUCCGGGAAUGACGGUACCUGAAGAAUAAGCACCGGCUAACUACGUGCCAGCCGCCGCGGUAA
rnacentral:rRNA from 1 species